UAGCUAGUUGGUAGGGUAAAGGCCUACCAAGGCGACGAUCGGUAGCUGGUCUGAGAGGAUGGCCAGCCACACUGGAACUGAGACACGGUCCAGACUCCUACGGGAGGCAGCAGUGGGGAAUAUUGGACAAUGGGGGCAACCCUGAUCCAGCAAUGCCGCGUGUGUGAAGAAGGCCUGAGGGUUGUAAAGCACUUUCAGUGGGGAGGAGAGUUGAUUGGUUAAGAGCUGGUUAAUUGGACGUUACCCACAGAAGAAGCACCGGCUAACUCCGUGCCAGCAGCCGCGGUAAUACGGAGGGUGCGAGCGUUAAUCGGAAUUACUGGGCGUAAAGGGUGCGUAGGUGGUUUAUUAAGUUAUGUGUAAAGUCCCUGGGCUCAACCUGGGCAGGUCAUAUAAUACUGGUAGACUCGAGUAUGGGAGAGGGUAGUGGAAUUUCCGGUGUAGCGGUGAAAUGCGUAGAGAUCGGAAGGAACACCAGUGGCGAAGGCGGCUACCUGGCCUAAUACUGACACUGAGGCACGAAAGCGUGGGGAGCAAACAGGAUUAGAUACCCUGGUAGUCCACGCUGUAAACGAUGUCAACUAGCUGUUGGUUAUAUGAAUAUAAUUAGUGGCGC
rnacentral:rRNA from 1 species